rnacentral:rRNA from 1 species
UACGUAGGGCGCAAGCUUUUUCCUUAAUUAUUUUUCUUAAAUAUCUCUUAUUCGUUUUUUCUCUUCUUCUUUGAAAACCUAAGGCUCAACCUUGGGCUUGCAGUGGGUACGGGCAGACUAGAGUGCGGUAGGGGUGACUGGAAUUCCUGGUGUAGCGGUGGAAUGCGCAGAUAUCAGGAGGAACACCGAUGGCGAAGGCGGGUCACUGGGCCGCAACUGACGCUGAGGAGCGAAAGCAUGGGGAGCGAACAGG